AUUGAACGCUGGCGGCAUGCUUUACACAUGCAAGUCGAACGGCAGCACGGGUGCUUGCACCUGGUGGCGAGUGGCGGACGGGUGAGUAAUGCAUCGGAACGUGUCCUAAAGUGGGGGAUAACGCAUCGAAAGAUGUGCUAAUACCGCAUAUUCUCUGAGGAGGAAAGUAGGGGAUCGAAAGACCUUAUGCUUUUGGAGCGGCCGAUGUCUGAUUAGCUAGUUGGUAAGGUAAUGGCUUACCAAGGCGACGAUCAGUAGUUGGUCUGAGAGGACGACCAGCCACACUGGGACUGAGACACGGCCCAGACUCCUACGGAGGCAGCAGUGGGGAAUUUUUGGACAAUGGGCGCAAGCCUGAUCCAGCAAUGCCGCGUGAGUGAAGAAGGCCUCGGGUUGUAAG
rnacentral:rRNA from 1 species